rnacentral:rRNA from 1 species
CGAAAGCCUGACGCAGCAACGCCGCGUGCGGGAUGAAGGCCUUCGGGUUGUAAACCGCUUUCAGCAGGGAUGAAACUGACAGUACCUGCAGAAGAAGCCCCGGCUAACUACGUGCCAGCAGCCGCGGUAAUACGUAGGGGGCAAGCGUUAUCCGGAUUCAUUGGGCGUAAAGCGCGCGUAGGCGGCUUGUUAAGCGAGAUGUGAAAUCCGGGGGCUUAACCCGCGGCUUGCAUCUCGAACUGGCAGGCUUGAGUUUGGUAGAGGAGUGUGGAAUUCCCAGUGUAGCGGUGAAAUGCGCAGAUAUUGGGAGGAACACCAGUGGCGAAGGCGGCACUCUGGGCCACAACUGACGCUGAGGCGCGAAAGCUAGGGGAGCGAACAGGAUUAGAUACCCUGGUAGUCCUAGCCGUAAACGAUGGGCACUAGGUGUGGGGGGUAUAACUCCCUCCGUGCCGCAGCUAACGCAUUAAGUGCCCCGCCUGGGGAGUACGGCCGCAAGGCUA